AAGACGACGACGUUGAUAGGCCGGAUGUGUAAGCGCAGCGAUGCGUUGAGCUAACCGGUACUAAUGACCCGUGAGGCUUAACCUUACAACGCCAGAGGCGUUUUG
rnacentral:rRNA from 1 species